rnacentral:rRNA from 1 species
GCCAGACUCCUACGGGAGGCAGCAGUGGGGAAUAUUGCACAAUGGGGGAAACCCUGAUGCAGCGACGCCGCGUGAGCGAAGAAGUAUUUCGGUAUGUAAAGCUCUAUCAGCAGGGAAGAAAAAAAUGACGGUACCUGAGUAAGAAGCACCGGCUAAAUACGUGCCAGCAGCCGCGGUAAUACGUAUGGUGCAAGCGUUAUCCGGAUUUACUGGGUGUAAAGGGAGCGUAGGCGGCGCGUUAAGUCUGAUGUGAAAACCCGAGGCUCAACCACGGGAGUGCAUUGGAAACUGGCGGGCUGGAGUGCCGGAGAGGUAAGCGGAAUUCCUAGUGUAGCGGUGAAAUGCGUAGAUAUUAGGAGGAACACCGGUGGCGAAGGCGGCCUGCUGGACUGUGACUGACGUUGAGGCUCGAAAGCGUGGGGAGCAAACAGGAUUAGAUACCCCUGUA